GCUGGGCAUGGUGGCGCGUGCCUGUAAUCCCAGCUACUCGGGAGGCUGAGGCAGGAGAAUUGCCUGAACCCAGGAGGCAGAGGUUGCGGUGAGCCGAGAUCAUGCCAUUGCACUCCAGCCUGGGUAACAAGAGCGAAACUCCGUCUCAAAAGAGAGAAAAAAAAAAAAAAAGACAAGAGUUUUCUCUCUUGUUGCCCAGGCUGGACUACAGUGGCUCGAUCUCGGCUCACUGCAACCUCGGCAUCCCAGGUUCAAGUGAUUCUCCUGCCUCA
rnacentral:SRP_RNA from 1 species